CGUUUUUAGUGUGAAGUUUCUUCGAAACUUCACAGUAUUGUGAUGACUGGGGGGAAAUUCACACGAAUCAGUCAGUCAGUCAUUCAUUCAUUCAUUCAUUCAGUCAUACAGUAAACUUUCCGGGGGGUGUAUACGAUAUAUGUUCGUAGUGAUUUAUCGUACUUAGUCAGUGCUUUGAAGGUUAUUUAGGCAAUUUCAGUUAACUUAUUUACAUAUUCUGUUAUCCUUUUGCCAAGUUCACAAAAUUAUCGAGGAAUCGCUUUCGUUAUUGUAAUUUUUUGUAAAUUUUAGAACAUUCGCUUCACAUGUUGUGUAAAGGAUCUUUACCCCGGAACACCCGAUUUUUUCUUUAGUAGCGCAAAUGCGCAUGCGCUAUCAAGCCGUAGAUCACGAUGGCGUGACGAUAUGCAAGGAAGGAGUGACAGUGUAGUUUUCAGAUGUAUAAACAUUUCAGACGUGAAUAUUGAGUAAAUCUUUGAAAAUCUACGCAAAAUAUAAAUUGAUCUUAUGCAUUACGGGCGUUCAAUUAAGUUCCGAUAAUAUUUAGACGGUAUAUUCGUUAUACAGAGCUAGGAAGGAGUUAGACCGCCUAGACAGUGCAGUCAAGUGUAUAAACAUUUCAGACGUAAAUAUUGUUAUAUUGAGUCGAAAAUCUUUGAGAUUCUAGGCAUUCAAUUGAGUGCCGAUAUUAUUUUCACGGCAUACUCAUUAUACAGAGGUACAGUACGUAGGCAGAAGCGAGACAGUGUUGUUUUCAAGUAUAUGAACAUUUCAGACAUGAAUAUUGAGAAAAUCUUUGAGAUUCUACGCAAUAAUACAAUAUAUAAAUUUAUGUUAUGCAUUACCGGCAUCAAUUAAUAUGUAAGUGCCCAUCGAUAUUAUUUAGACCGUGUAUUCAUUAUACAUUGUCAUUGACUGUAUAAGGUGCUACAUCGCAGAAUAGAUGGCUACACUCAGUACAAAGAGCGAAAAAUUGCAUCAGAUCUGUACCAGAUCAAUAAAGCAUAAACAACUAUUCAACGGGUAAACGUUUGUACGGCGUUUACGAGGAAAAUAACUUGCGAGAUUAAAGAAAUCAGUUGAGUCAGAGCUCCUUAUUUAAAUAAGAAAGACGAGGAGAUGGCCAAUGUGUUAUCGACAACGUGUUAUCGCCAAUCGCUUGGCUCGCCA